rnacentral:tRNA from 2 species
GCGCCCGUAGUUCAACUGGAUAGAGCGACGGCCUCCGGAGCCGUAGGUUGCGCGUUCGAGCCGCGCCGGGCGCACCC